ACAUGCUGGAGUGGCCUUCGGGCCCGUCCUCCAUAAACCCACCUCUGUGUACCUUUUCCUGUUGCUUCCGCGGGCCCUCGGGGUUCGCCCCGGACGUCGGCGAGAAGGUUUCCCUUAGCCGGGAGGCCGAAUCUGUCCGGCGGAGCGUCCGCGGAAGGUAAUCGAACGAAACUCUUUUGAAUUAGAUAUCUUCUGUCUGAACUGAUAACUAUAAAAGUUA
rnacentral:misc_RNA from 1 species